rnacentral:rRNA from 1 species
AACGAACGCUGGCGGCGCGCCUAAUACAUGCAAGUCGAGCGAGAAGACGUAGCAAUACGUUUGUAAAGCGGCGAACGGGUGAGGAAUGCAUGGGUAACCUACCCUCGAGUGGGGAAUAACUAGCCGAAAGGUUAGCUAAUACCGCGUACGCUCCUUGGACUUCGGUUCAGGGAGGAAAGCGAUACCGUGGGUAUCGCGCUCUUGGAUGGGCUCAUGUCCUAUCAGCUUGUUGGUGAGGUAACGGCUCACCAAGGCUUCGACGGGUAGCUGGUCUGAGAGGACGAUCAGCCACACUGGCACUGCGACACGGGCCAGACUCCUACGGGAGGCAGCAGUAAGGAAUAUUGCGCAAUGGGCGAAAGCCUGACGCAGCGACGCCGCGUGGGGGAUGAAGGUCUUCGGAUUGUAAACCCCUUUCGGGAGGGAAGAUGGAACGAGCAAUCGUUCGGACGGUACC